rnacentral:rRNA from 1 species
UACGUAGGGGGCAAGCGUUGUCCGGAAUCAUUGGGCGUAAAGAGCGCGUAGGCGGUCCGGUAAGUCGGUUGUGAAAACUGGGGGCUCAACCCUCAGAGGCCGACCGAUACUGUCGGGCUAGAGUCCGGAAGAGGCGAGUGGAAUUCCUGGUGUAGCGGUGAAAUGCGCAGAUAUCAGGAGGAACACCAAUGGCGAAGGCAGCUCGCUGGGACGGUACUGACGCUGAGACGCGAAAGCGUGGGGAGCAAACAGG